UGGCAGGAAUUCCUGGAGCCAGCAAAUGAGUAAUGUUAAACCUAUGAUUAGAUGAUGAGGCCAUCAAAGACACUAGACCCUAAUGCUACAUUCCACUUUAUUCCUGUGAAUUGCAGUAAAACCAAAGACCAAGGAGAAGGCAUUGUAAGUUAUUCCUUCCCUCAAGUAAAAAGCUUCAAAAGCUGUUUAAAAAAAAGCAGCAUGACAUGAAACUCAAAGGCCUUAAUGGAUCUUUUGGAAUUUCCCUUGAACCCAGGACUUAACCAUUAGGUAACAAAUUUUUCAAGUGCCCUGCAGGAGAAGGUUUGAAGUUCAAACCCCACUGAGGAUUCCUGCCAGUGAUGUAUUUUUCUUUAACUUCUCCCUAACCAAUAUCCAUCUUGGCUAAAAGAAAAACAGGAUCUAAUGAUUUCCUUAUGGGUAAAGGCUGGAAGAAAUGCAACCUAUGGACUGGCAAACAGCAGCAAUCACUGUGAAGUAAGAGCUCCUCAAUCGAUGCAAGGUAUGGAGUGUUUAAAGUUAUGACGUGAAGAUUGAGAAACUGAAGCCUAUACAGUAUCAUUUGGAGAAAAGACUUCAAUAAUAGGACUCUCUUAUGGUAUUAUAUGGGUACCUAAAAAGGGGAUUACAAACAGAAUUUGAACUCAACAGAAACAGAAUUUUUAAGAAGGAAGCUGGGAACAUACAGUCUAUGGAGGAUAAUCAAAGUUGUGCCUUUGGUUGCUAAGAUGAAGGGAAGAGCUCAGAUCAGCAAAGAGGAAGUGAUUGUCUGAUCAUGAUGAAGAUACAAUGCUCUACGCAUCAACAUUUCAUAGGAUGUCUCCUAUGAAGGUGCAUGACUGAGGUGUAUUCUCCCAAAAGAGGAGAUCUGCAGAGGCAGUUUUCACAGAAGCAAAGACCAUGCUGACAAAUCUUACAAAAGAAGAGCAGCAUAGCAGAUCAGUGUUUUAGGAGAACAGUAAUUCUCUUCCUUCCACUAGUAUUAAUAUUUUACUAUCUUACAACAUAAUUUACAACUAAAAUUUAAUCACAAAUCUGAACAUGUCAUGCUCAUCUAUUUUUGUGCUUCAACAGAACCAUCAUAACAAGUCAGUAAAAACUCUGUGAUAUUUUAGUUUAUUACAUCAUGGUCAGAUCCAGGUUAAUUUCUACAUUUAUUCAUUGUAGACUUAGCUCAUUGAUCUGUAAGUAAUUAUCUUAUGCACACUGUCUGUGUUGUUCUUUACAG